UUUUUUUUUUUUUUUAUGAAAAAACGUGGCCUAAACUCCCUCCCCUCUCAUUCUGAAAACUUUCUUACCAUAAAUUGUUCUCCUAGCAUUAGACAAUUCUACAAGAGAAGUAGGCACUAAUCCUGUUGUAAAAUUAUAUCUCCACUUCUAGAUCUCCACCAGGAUCAUGGAGACAUCUACCUCACACACUCAGAAAUACCUCGACUGCAGUAGGGAGAGAAGGAUAUUAAGUCCACAUGAAUUCAUCAUUCUCAUCAAUGCCUUGCACUUGUAUGUGUGUAUGUGUGUGUGUUUAACUGGACCAGCUUUACAUUUUGGCCCUGAAACCUCAAUUCUAAGAAGUUAUUAUAAGGAAAGCAAUUAAUACUAAAGUUUAUAUACAAAGUUGUUCAACAAAGUAUUAUUUAUUAAAAGGAAAUAGCUGGAGUGGUACAUUAUAAAUGGUCUACACUUGGAUAUUUGUUUUUAAAAAGUUUGGUUCUUUCAAAUGAUAGAACAUCAGCCAUUAAAUUCAGGUUUCCAAGGAACAAUUAAUGGUCUGAGUAAAUAAAUAGUCACUAUGUGAUAAUAGGCGAGAAAAAGUAGUAUAUAAAAUUAUAACAUUAAGCUCUAGUAAGGAGAAAAAAACAUGCAAGGAUAAAUAGUUUGGAAGGAAAAUUAGCAAGACUUACAAGAGGAUGUAUUUUGGCAUGAUAAAACAGUGAAUCAUUUUUCUUUUUUCAUGAUGUGUUUCUUGGUUUUCAAUAUUUUCUAUAAUGGGCAUUUAUACUUAAAAAAAAAAAAGGAAAACAGAACAAAUGCUAAUUUUCACGAAAUUCUUUUUUUAUUUUCCAUAACAGCCACUGUCAGUAUCUAGGACAGGGGAAGUUAACCCAUUUUACAAAAAGCAUAAUAAGCGAUGAGAAGCUAAGCAACAACCAGUGUCACAAAGUGAUUGAAGGUCAACAUCAGGAUCCAGACCCAGGUGUCCUCAGGCCUAGCUUAUAAGCCUUCUGCUGCACUAUAAGCCUCCCUAGACCACCACUUUCCCAUCACUGAGUCAGGCUUUUACUUUCAGCCUGGAGACUUGCACAGCUCACCUUUCUUGGGCACAUGCACUCCACUUUUGUCUUCUGGAAUGUACCCACACAGACACCAGUCUCACUAGGGGCCAGAAAUCUGGGAUGGUCAGACCUCAGGGGUAGUGCAUGGGAGCCAAAAAGCAUUUUGAUUCCACCUCAAGGGCCUGCCAUGGUGCUAGGCAGUUGGUAGGGGCUCAGUAAGUACUUGGUCAGCAGGUCCUUCUGCACAGGUUGUUCUAGGAGCUCCACUCAGAGAAGCUGCCAUCUGACCUCCAGGCUUUCACUUCCCCUCCCCAGGCAAGAAUGCAUCUCCUCUCUUCAGCGCCAAAGAGGGCCAAGAAGUCGGACCUCCUAAGGCAGUGAUUCAGAACCUGAACCUCUUUGGGGUUACUUAACUCUCCGAGAAUCUGAUGAAAGUUAUGGGCCCCCUGCAGAAAAAUGCAUGCAGGCUGAUACCCACACACUCUUGUAUGUAAUUCAUGAAGGUCUAAGGAGGCCACCUGAGGCCACCCAUGAUCUUGGUUUCUGGGUCUAAGCAGGCAGAGUGCCCAGGCGGCGUGAAAGCCAGGCCCCUCCUCAGCGCCCCCCUAGAGUCCCGCUCCUCCCAUUGCUCGUUCAACUUGCCAUUUCUUUGCCUCCAUGAGCCCUAAUUAGCUCCUGUCUGGGAGGUGACUCAGGGCCAUUAUCCCUCCUCCACCCCUGAUGACCCAUUGGGAGGAGAGGGGAAGUGACUUACAUAGACUCAUACCAUGAGUCAGUGCACAAGCCAAGACUAGAAUAUGGCAUUUGGGGCUCCCAGAGCUAUAUUUAGGUCACUGGGAAGAGCGCUUCUCAUGGCAGGGUCUGGACAUAUGCAGGGAAGGGACAUAGGCGGAUGCUAACUAACCAUGGCCCUAGGAUGGUAGGAAGAAAACAAUUUGGAACAUCAUCACCCUUAAGCACCCCUUUCUCGCAAUUCUAGAAGGCUUAGGAGCAGUGUCAUCCUCAUUCUUGCAAGAAGAAACAGAGGUGACAGGAAGGAAUGAAGAACUCUGAGUACCUGGCUUCGCUGUGAUGUUCUUCUCUUCAGCCACUGCAAACCUAAGCGAAACCACAGCCUGCCUGCACAUCAGGAGCGGCCCCUGGGAUUUCCCGUCCAGCCCUUGCAGUAGAGGAAAAUGGCUUUGGCCUAGGUCAGUCAAUGUCAUGAACUAGUGAUCAGGUUUAUCUUAUAAAAUAUACAUACACAUAGUUCUUAAGAUAUAACUGUCAUAGAACUAGAGUCCUCUGCUCAAGGCCAGAGAAGAAAAGGUAAAAAGAACCUAGAUAUAAUUAAAACUGAUUUCCAGAUCAGCAACAAUCUAGCAAGUCAUGUCAAUUGAUACCAAGAACUUCCACCCACCCUCAAUGACCAUUCUGAUCCCACAUCUAAAAGGACCCCUGGGAGCACCUGGUUGGCUCAGUUGGUUAAGUGUCUGCCUUCGGCUCAGGUCAUGGUCCCGGGGUCCUGGGAUCGAGCUUCAAGUCAGGCUCCCUGCUCAGUGAGGAGCCUGCUUCUCCCUCACCCUACCUCCCUGCCCACCUCCUGCUCCUGCUCUCUCUCACUCUCUCUUCCAAAUAAAUAAAAUAUUUUUUUUAAAAUAAGACCCAGAAACUAUUGACUACAAAAUUAGACAACUUUAGCCAUAGUAAUAUUAAGAAUUUCUAUAUAUCAAAAGUCACCUUAAAGAAAGUGAAAAGGCAAGUUACAAACUGGGAAAAGAUCUUUGCUGCAUACAACCAGCAAAGGAUUAGUGUCAGAGAUGCACAAAAAUUAUUCCAACAAAUUAAUAAGAAAAACCCAAAUUGGGGCAGCUGGGUGACUCUGUUGGGUAAGUACCCAAAUCUUCAUUUCAGCUCUGGUCUUGAUUUCAGGGACAUGAGUUCAAGUCCCAUGUUGGGCUCCAUGCCCAGCAUGGAGCCUACUUAAGGAAAAAAAAAAAAGCCCAAAUGAUCCAGUUUUUUAUUAUUUUUAUUUUUUUUGAUCCAGUUUUUUAAAAUAGGAAAAUGCCAUAACAAGCAUUUCAUAGAACAGGAAACACUUAAGAUCAACAAAAAUUGGAAGAGAUGUUCAAUAUCAUUAGUGACAAGGGAGGUAUAAGUUGAGACAACAACUAGAAAAUUUUUAGCACCCAUUUGAUUGGCAAAAACUGAAAGUUUUAUAAUACCUAUAAUACCAGGUGCCAGAAAGGAAUUGCAGCCACGGAUCUUCAAAACUGCUGAUGGAAGUGUAAAUUGUUAAACAGUUAUGUUUUAACAUUCACAUACCCUAUAAUGCAGAUAUUCCACUCCUAGGAAUCUAUCCAAGAGGAAAUCUUGUACAUGUGCAAUAAAGGAUAUGGACCAGAAUGUAUUGUUUCCAGUAACAACCUAGAAAGUCUUACAUGCCUAUCAAUGAGAGAUUCGAUAAACUAGGUCUAAAAACACAACAGAAUAUUAGACAGCAAUGUAAAUGAAUGAACUAUAGUUAUAUGUGACAAUAAGCAUGAAUGUUAGCAGAAUACUGUAAGGGCAAAAAACAUUGCAUACCACAUGAUGUCCUUUUAUUAAAUUAUAAAUAACUUUAAUAAAAAUGUGUACUUAGGAAUUUUUGUGGAUGCAGUAAUACUACAUAAAAAGGAAAGCAAGGGAAUGAGAAUUCAGGAUGAUGGCUGCCUGGCAUGGAAGGAGAUAAGGACAUGGGUUGGCUGAGUUGCUAAAUGGUUGGAUGUAGGUGACUGUCAAGUUGCUAUCUCUUUACUUAGGUGGUAGAUUUAUGAGGGCUUAUUGUGUUAAAACAGUUACCUAGGUAGCUGGUUGGCAAGCUAGCUAGCUCUGGCUGCUACGUGGAGAAUGGGUUGAAGUGGGUAAAGGUAGAAGCAGGGUGACCAACUAGGAGGCAGCUGGUGCUUUGUACUUGGGUGGCGCUUUGCACCCAGAUGGUGGCAGUUGUGAUGGAGAAUAAUGGACAGAGUCAGAAUAUAUUUGGGAAGUGAUGGAGGACUUGCUCUGAUGGCUUAGAGGUGGGAGGUAAGGAAUAUUCUAUUAGAUGAAGCUACUAUAAUUUAUUUAACAAUCAGCUCUUGUAAUCUCAAUUGCUCACAAUAUUUUUUGCUCCAUAAAAAGGUCUAAAAUGAGUAUCCUUGUACCU
rnacentral:lncRNA from 1 species